GACGAACGCUGGCGGCGUGCUUAACACAUGCAAGUCGAACGGUGAAGCGCCUUCCUUUUUGGUGGGUGUGGAUGAGUGGCGAACGGGUGAGUAACACGUGAGUAACCUGCCCCCUUCUUCUGGAUAACCGCAUGAAAGUGUGGCUAAUACGGGAUAUUCUGGGUCUGUCGCAUGAUGGGUCUGGGAAAGAUAUUGUUUCGGUGGGGGAUGGGCUCGCGGCCUUUCAGCUUGUUGGUGGGGUGAUGGCCUACCAAGGCGGUGACGGGUAGCCGGCCUGAGAGGGUGGACGGUCACACUGGGACUGAGACACGGCCCAGACUCGUACGGGAGGCAGCAGUGGGGAAUAUUGCACAAUGGGCGCAAGCCUGAUGCAGCGACGCCGCGUGAGGGAUGGAGGCCUUCGGGUUGUGAACCUCUUUCGCCAGUGAAGCAGGCCUGCCUCGUUUGUGGGUGGGUUGACGGUAGCUGGGUAAGAAGCGCCGGCUAACUACGUG
rnacentral:rRNA from 1 species